UACGUAGGUGGCGAGCGUUGUCCGGAUUUACUGGGCGUAAAGAGCGCGCAGGCGGUCGUUCAAGUCGCGUGUGAAAGCCCCCGGCUCAACUGGGGAGGGUCACGCGAUACUGAUCGACUCGAAGGCAGGAGAGGGAAGUGGAAUUCCCGGUGUAGUGGUGAAAUGCGCAGAUAUCAGGAGGAACACCGGUGGCGAAGGCGGGUCUCUGGGCCGAUACUGACGCUGAGGAGCGAAAGCGUGGGGAGCGAACAGG
rnacentral:rRNA from 1 species